GACGAACGCUGGCGGCGUGCUUAACACAUGCAAGUCGAACGAAGAGCGACGGAAGCUUGCUUCUAUCAAUCUUAGUGGCGAACGGGUGAGUAACGCGUAAUCAACCUGCCCUUCAGAGGGGGACAACAGUUGGAAACGACUGCUAAUACCGCAUACGAUCUAACCUCGGCAUCGAGGAUAGAUGAAAGGUGGCCUCUACAUGUAAGCUAUCACUGAAGGAGGGGAUUGCGUCUGAUUAGCUAGUUGGAGGGGUAACGGCCCACCAAGGCGAGGAUAAGGAGCCGGUCGGGGAGGAAGGACGGCCACAUUGGGACUGGGACACGGCCCAGACUACUAAGGGAGGGAGCAGGGGGGGAUCUUCCGAAAAUGGGGAAAGUCUGGCGGAGCAACGGCGCGUGGGUGAUAGCGGCCUUCGGGUUGUAAAGCUCUGUUAAUCGGGACGAAAGGCCUUCUUGCGAAUAGUGAGAAGGAUUGACGGUACCGGAAGAGAAAGCCACGGCUAACUACGUG
rnacentral:rRNA from 1 species